UACAGAGGGUGCAAGCGUUGUUCGGAAUUAUUGGGCGUAAAGCGCGUGUAGGCGGCUUGGCAAGUCGGGUGUGAAAGCCCUCAGCUCAACUGAGGAAGUGCGCCCGAAACUGCUGUGCUUGAGUGUCGGAGAGGGUGGCGGAAUUCCCCAAGUAGAGGUGAAAUUCGUAGAUAUGGGGAGGAACACCGGUGGCGAAGGCGGCCACCUGGACGACUACUGACGCUGAGACGCGAAAGCGUGGGGAGCAAACAGG
rnacentral:rRNA from 1 species